UAGAGCGGUCGGUUGGUUUUUCUUCUCAGUGCACGAGUCGCGCUCGAGCGGCCCGCGCGCUUGCUGCAGUAACCAGCUCCAGGCGCUGGCGCCGGGGCCGCGGGAAGGAAACGAUUUCGCUCUCUGCAGCAGCGGGCGCGGCCCGGAGCCCCGCGAGCGUCCAGAGCUCCAGGGGUUGCGGCCUCUCUGCACGGCAAUACUGAAUGCUUCACAACCUUCGGAGAUCGCCUAGCAACCGUCCUUAGGAAUUCUGUCCGGCCCUGAUCUGGAGUCAAGGCCCCAAGAUUGAUGAGUUUGCCUUGGGAGUCAGUGAAAAGGUGAAACCAAAGGUCAACAUGGGUCAGAAGGUCACGGGAGGGAUCAAGACUGUGGACAUGCGGGACCCCACAUACCGACCUCUGAAGCAGGAGCUCCAGGGUCUGGAUUACUGCAAGCCCACCCGGCUGGACCUGCUGCUCGAUAUGCCCCCCGUGUCCUAUGAUGUCCAGCUGCUCCACUCCUGGAACAAUAAUGACCGUUCACUCAAUGUCUUCGUGAAGGAAGAUGACAAGUUGAUCUUUCACCGGCAUCCGGUGGCCCAGAGCACAGACGCUAUCAGGGGCAAAAUUGGGUACACACGUGGACUGCAUGUGUGGCAGAUCACAUGGGCCAUGAGGCAACGAGGCACACAUGCUGUGGUGGGGGUGGCCACAGCGGACGCCCCUCUGCACUCCGUUGGGUACACAACCCUCAUAGGAAAUAACCACGAGUCCUGGGGCUGGGACUUGGGGCGAAACCGUCUCUACCAUGAUGGCAAGAACCAGCCAAGUAAAACAUACCCAGCCUUUCUGGGGCCAGAUGAGACGUUCAUUGUCCCUGACUCCUUUCUUGUGGCCCUGGACAUGGAUGAUGGGACCCUGAGUUUCAUUGUGGAUGGACAGUACAUGGGAGUGGCUUUUCGGGGACUUAAGGGUAAAAAACUGUAUCCUGUAGUGAGCGCCGUCUGGGGCCACUGUGAGAUCCGCAUGCGCUACUUGAACGGACUUGAUCGUUCUGAAAGCGCCCUGCAAAGUGGCCCAGAUAUAGUAGAGCACAGCCUCUCAUCUCCUGGACAAACCACACGAAUGAGCAAGGGAAUGAAAGCACGAGUACCCAUAGCCUCUGACUAAGCGAAGGGGAGAGUGUACACCUACACCCGGUGUCCAUGACCCAAAAGCAGGGCACGCCGACACCAGGCCCCCAAUCCCAGCCUGGACCACAUCAUCAUGAGACAGACCUGCGAUAUACAGCCCCUGCCCUCAGGAACAUCUGGCUCCGGAGACCAGCUCCAGAUGUGUCCAGGCCUCAGCGGCAGCUGGUGGGUUCCCAGUACCGUCUUCCAGUUGCUAACCCGCACUGCUUCCCAGGACGACAUCCGAGGUGUCCGAACUAGAAUGUAAGCACAUUUUAAUACAGAUCACUUCAGCCACAGCAAGGCAACUGGCUUCUGAUGAAGCUGGCAAGAGAUGCUCGUGAACUCAUUCCGACUGACAUCUUUCGAGGGGCUCACGCCAAGUGCAAUGGGCCGCUUCGUAAUUGUGAAAAGAUCUGAGCUGUCCCCACUCCACCGGGGUUAGGCCCACUGGUAUCUGAUUCAGUGUUUACUUCAUGAAUGAGGUCAGUUCCCAGCACAGCUGGGGCUCAGGAGCGGAGAUUGGUCAGCAGACCACGGCCAGGUCGCAAAUCCACCCUUGGGUGUUAGCCUUAGGGCAGCCAGCUUGUGGCUCAGCUGGUUUAGCCACACCCCUGCGUGUUUUCUGGGGUCUGCUCCCUGGAGAAACAGACCCCGGCCUGACGCAGCCUCCACACGAUGAAAUCACAGUCGAGUUUCCCACAUGCUGUGCUUCCUUCCACCAGUGCCUCUUUGGUGUUACCACGCUGUGCUCCUGGCCCUCCCCUCAGGAGCUGCAGAAUUGCCAGGAAGCAGGGCAAUGCACACGGCCCUACUGGAGCUUGCACCCCCACAGAAUCCACCGGAAAAGAGCCAGCCACUCUGCAGCCAGAGCCUGCCCAGAGAGUCUCUUCUGUCCCCUCGGCUAGUCACCUGAAGCCCCCGACUGCACCAGCCCUAGGCUCUUGUCCCUUGCUGCCACCUCACGGGUUCAAGCAGCACAGAUACCCAAAACCUGGACCCGUGAAGGGGCCAAGGAGCUCUUCCAAGAAAACCCAACUGUCUUCAUUUGAGAGUUUCGAGUGACCCCAAAGUAACCUCUUGAUUUCUGUUUUUGAAGGGAAAAUAUUUCCAGAUCUGAAUGGCUGCAGGGCCAGACUCGGCAGCUAUGAGUCCUUCGUUAUGUGACCUUAGCCGCGUCCGCUAAGCCACUGCCAGGCCUGAUUGCAGAAACGAACCCAAAGCAAAGACUUUGAAAGAAAAAAAAUCAAGAGUUCUGAAAUUUGCCCCAUCAAGUCUUUUGAAACAAAACUGUCCACAUUUUUAAGUGUUUGACGUCAUAACAUUCCCAAGUCCUGAGGCAGAGAGCAAGCCAGUGAUGUUCCAACAUGGAGCUGCAGAUCGCCUGAGCAGAGCCGGCCGAGAUACGUCUGUGCCCGGUGGCGGCCCACAAGUGGAGGGUAGCAAGGCGACGUGGAUGCUGAAGCUCUUCCCUUCCUGCCUCGGUCCUGCAGAAGAUGGCAGAAAGAGACGACAGGAAGAUGUGGCAACACAGGGGCCAGACACCUGAAGCCCUGAAAUCAGGAGAAAGGCUGCAUCUGCACAGACCUCAGGGAGCUUCUGAGUUGAGCCACAUCUCCGUACAUCCGCAACGAGAGUACUUAGGAGGACAGAGCAGUCCCCAGAAGACUUGAGGAAGACUGGGGCUUCUGCCCCCCAACACCAACUUCCCCAGGGCUCAGAAGAAGUGUGCCUGAGAGGCCAAAACGGGGAUAUGAUGGUCCUUUUAUAACCCGGGCGAUGUCUAAGGACGUCCCCGGGAGCUCUGCAUGCAUCCCUGAUGCACUUCCGUUCACUCAAGCCUAGACUGGUGAAGCAAUGAGUUUUUGGACUACUUCCAGGACCAUGAGUGAAGGUACUUAACAGACCAUGGAUGACUCGAAGAGCCCCAACAGAAGCUCACACGGCACAUGGAUGACGGCUUCCCCGAAACUGCAUAGACGUCUCCCCUUCAGUACCUUCCACCCCGUCGGUGCUACCGUCUCGGAAGAGAAGUGGAAGCUGGGGCAGAAUGAUACACAGCCUGGAAGGGCUGGCAUUCAGGUGCUGAGCUGUGUUCUAUGUCGGGGCUUUUUUACUUUCGAUGUUUUCCACUUGAGUGGGUUUGCAGGGGCAAAACCCCAAAGAGUACCUGUGCACAGAACUAAGCGACCUUGGACCAUCCAUUUUAGAACAUCUUCAUCACCUCGAGGAGGAAUUCUGCAACUUUACCCAGCUUUGGUUCUCCUUCCACGCAUCCUAGAAACCACUAAUUCAUCCUCCUUGGAUCCGCCCACUCUUCACACUCUAUGUGAUGCGAUCUUACUUUACGGUUUCCGUUCUGGUUAUCUUCAGUGGCCACCACACCUGGCCCUCUCGGUACUUUCUCAUGGUGUCGGAAAGGAGACUAGGACUGUAUGUAUCUCUGGUGCCUGGCUUCUCUCCACUCCUGCCAUAGCCUGUGCGCACUCUUCCUCUUUAGAGCUCAGUAAGUGUCCACUGUAUAGAUAGAAUUCAUUAGCUUGUUACUUCAUUGGCUGUUGGACAUGGAGGUUGUCACCAUUUCUGGCUAUUGUAUGAAACAGUGUUGCUAUGAACACUUGUGUACAGUUUCCUUCAGGUGUCUGCUGUCUUUCCCUUGGAUGCAUGCCUAGGAGUGUGAUUCUGGGAUGCUAGCUCUGUUUAACUUUCGGAGGAACGGCCAGGCUGUUGGGGCUCUCAUCACUCUUCCAGAGCCCUAAGCAUUGGCCAGUCACAUUGAACAAAUAACAUUAUUACUAGACCUUUCCAGGAAGAAUCUAAACAGCCCUAGGAAAAUGUCAGUUCUAGCUGGGAGGCAGCAGACCUGCUACGCAGAGGCUUUGAAGGCACCAAAGAGGGGCUGGGGGAAAAUUCCGGGGUACCAUCACUUCCCAUGAGAUAGCCAUUGAGUCUGGCUCCAAGAAAGGGUAUCAGUUUUGGCGACUAUAAAGCCAACCAGACCCAGCCAUUUAAAUGGAUGCCCUAGCAGAGUCCUGGCUUAACAUGUACAAGGUUCAGAGUUUGGUCCCCAGGACUGAAAAUUAAAAUAAAAAAUUGACACUCAGCACUCAGAAGGCUGAGACAGGAAGAUAAAGGGUCUGAGGUCAACCUGAACUAUAUAUUGAGAUCUUGUCUCCGAGUAAAUCUUGACAACACUGUAAGGACCAAUCUUGGCUGUCAACUAGACCACAUCUGCAAUCAACUAAACCCUAGCAGCUGGGCACACUUGUGAGGACCUUUAUUAAUGCAUCAUUUGGGGUAAGACAGCUCACCCUAAGUCUUGACCACACCCCUGGUUGCUGCCCACAUGGAAGGAUGUGGAGGAAGGAAGCUUUUUGCCUGCUUGUCUUCACUCCCGCUGGCAAGUCCAUCUGUCCUGCUGCUGAGGUAUUCUUUUGCUAGUAUUAGUACCUACUUCUUCAGGAUCCCAGGAUGUUCUGAGGACCAGACGAGACACCCAGCCUUGUGGACUGAGCAACUACUGGGCUUUUUACCUUUCUGCCAGGAGACAAGCGUGGCUGGACUAGCCAGGCCACAGCCUGUAAGCCAUCCUAAUAAAUCCCCUACAAAUAGAACAUUUUCGUCCUCAGUUCUGUUCCUCUGGAGAACCCUGACUAAUACAAGCUCCCGUGUAUCAGCUUCAUGGGUCACUAUCAGUGUGACAGUUCAGAAGGGUGAGCGGGCUCAAUGGGGGUUUGUGCCAGGUCUCAAGCCAGGCAGGGGGUCUGUCGGGCGAAGCUGUGUAAGGAUCCACCUCUAUUCUAAUAUGCACAGACCCACCUUCUUGCAGCUGGAGGGCUGGGGUCUCCCUUUCCCAGCUGGAUGUCAGCAAGGUUCAUCCUUAACAACUGACAGAUCUCUCGUUCCUUCAUCCUUAGCACCCCCAUCUCAAGGCAGCAAGAUUACCUCAAAUCCUCCUCUUGAGUCAAACCUCCCUGACUUCUUCUUCUGCACCCAGCCAAUAACGGAUUCCUCUUCUACAUCCAGCCAGCGAUGGGUUCCCCUUCUGCACCCAGCCAGUGACAACUCUCUUCUCUGACAGGUCAAGACCUACAGGAUCUCAUCAUUUUCCUGUCCUCUUCACUGUGACACCACCCCACCCUUCAGAGAUGAGAGAAAGCAAGCACAGGGUCGUCUCCAGAUUUCCCUCAAGCACAGGGAGUGCGCCAGCUAUGAACAGAGCAGAACUGAAUGCUGGCCAAGCCCAGGACUUUUUGAAGAGACUGUAUCCAGUACUGAACUCCGAUUUGUGCCUCUGAAGACCUUGAUUUGGAUGCAACAAGCAUGUGAUUGACAAGCAGGAAAUAGCACGUGUUUAAGACGUAAAGCAGAGAACUCUUGACACAUACACACACCCAUAUACAGGCCUGUUAUCACAAUAAGACACACAUUGGUCACUCCAAAUGUCUUUGUGUCUGCUGAGGUACCUUCCCCCACCCUGUCUGCUCCCCUGGUUCCAGGCAACCAUAAUCUGCUUUCUAUUCCUGGAGAUAUGUUUUGAGCUUUCUAGAAGUUUCUACAAACUCAGUUACACCCUGUUGUUGUGGAUUGACAAAGCCCUCUAUUGAAGCCCAACCCUCCAGGAUCUCAGGAGGUAACUGUAUUUGGAGAUCUCUUUGAACUUAAAUCAAAGUUUUUACAGUGGAGAUUGAGGCCACUGUAAAGAUGCGUUGGUUUUUAACUUAUGUGUAUGUGUGAGCGCCUGCAUGUAUGUGUGUGUACCACGUCCAUACCUGAUGCCCACAGAGGCCAGAAGAAGGUAGCAGAUCCCCUGGCACUGGAGUUAGAGGUGGCUCUGUACUGCCCCGUGGGUUCUGGGAACCAAACAGGGUCCUCUGAAAAAAGUAACCAGUGUUCUUAAUCCCUGAACCAUCUCUUUAGCCCCCUAGAUCUGUUUUUAAUUAAUGUUCUUAUAUGGUACAGGGUAUGAACCUAAGGCCUUUUGUUUUGCAGACAGAUACAAACGUUCCUUGCCCUGAAGGGAAUUAUGCCACCUUAAACAUAAAUCAAAGUGCACCGUAUACACCUGACAAACCAAGCAGCCUGCCUGGGCACUCCAGAGCAUUGUAUGAGACCAGUUGGUUCCUGCCUAUGACCUUAUGGUUCAUGGUGCCCCGGGGAGGAAGGGAGAGAAGGAGGAAGGGAGGGGAAAAGGGAGGGAAGGAGAGACGAAGGAAAACGCUCCUGGAAUUUUGAUUGCCAUUUCAUAAUCUUAGACCAAUCUGAGAACUGACACCCUAAUGGUAAACACUGUAACUAAAUUAUAAUUUAUAUGCCAUAAAAAUCACUUUAGGAUCCAUGAGAAGGUUCAACCCUGCCUCAAACAAUACAAAAACUUUUUUUAAAAAAAAAGUCCAAAAAACUAUGUAUGCUAAGAUACUCAUGAUAGUAUUGCUUAUGUAAGUGAUAAAUCAAAAAACAUAAAGAGGGACAGAGAGGUGGCUCAGCUGGUAAAGGUGCUUGCCACCAAGCCUGAUGAUCUGAGCUCGAGCCCUGGAACCCUUAUGGUGGAAGGAGAGAACGGGUUCUCUCAUGUUGUCCUCUGACCCUCACAGGCACACAGGUUCCUGAACACAGACACACACAGAAAUGUAAAUUGUGUUUAGUUGCCACUGUCAAGGGUACAACUCAGUGGGUUUCAGUACAGUCAUAGCCUUGGCCAUAACCAUUACCGAAGUCCAGGACAUUUUUAUCAUACAAGAAAGGAGCCCCUGGCACUGACAGUCGCUCCCCAGAUGCCCGCAGCUGCUAAUCUGCUCCAUCUCGGAAUUUGCCUGCUCCAGACACUUCGUAUAAACAGAGUCGCCCAACCUCCAGCCUUGGCAUCUGGCGCAUUUCCGUGAGUACAGUAGAUCAAAGUAGACGGCCUGACAGCAAGGAGUCUACAGUGGCACCUUCAUAUGCGGACAGACAAACCAGGCGGGGCCACCCCGCAGAAGCAGCUUCCCCACGGGAAGCUCAGACGUCUGCCUUUCCUCAAAUCCACUUUAAUCUUCUUCCAAAUAAGCCACGACAUUAAAGUCCAGGUACCCGCGGCUAGAGCUGGCUGGAGUUUAGGGCCGAUGGCAACCACAUAGCCAGCCUGGCCGUCGAAUGUGUUGGUAUGGGUUCCACUUGCUACUGGGGCAGCAGUACCCAACUUGAGACUUUUCACCAAAAAUUCCUUUACAAGGCGGUCAACCAAAAUCGCCCAUCUCCCACCUGGCAGACUAGAGGAGGUUGUUCUCGGGGACUCUUGGUGGCUGCUACCCACACCGGAACCCUGUGCCCUAGUCCUGACCCGUCAGCUGCCUGGAUGGCUAACUCCUAACACACACACACACACACACAAAUACACCACACACCACAUCUCCCCUCCUCUGUCUCAUGUAGAUAAAUCCCAGAGAGACUUCCUGGUUUUUCUUGGGACACGGAAUGCUGACCGUGAAUCCUGGAGUUGUUCCCUCUCUACGAACAUUCCUCCCAUGACAAUGGUCAGCUCAUGCCUCUUUGCUUGGAACAUUGAGGGUUUUACCACAGCUCGAGAUCUGCGACCCGGGAAAAUCAGAAUGUUUGGGCACAUGGCCUCUCACUUCAUUCCCUUUUCCUCCGCCUGAGACACAAGCACACAUACAUACACAUUAAAAUACAACUUAAAAUGUAAUAGUGAUUGAGGAAGACACUGAGUGUCAACCGCUGGCCUACACACACACACACACACAAUAACAACAACAAUAAUAAUAAUAACAAUAAUAAUAAUAAUAUAUAAAUCCUAUAGCAAGGUCUGACUGAGCUGGAGUUUUCGUCUGCUGGCUGACCUCUCUGUGGGCAGCCUCUGAAACUGCUGGCAACACCUCGCCAGUUUCCUCCCGGUGUGAGAGGAACACUGUACCAGCGACUUCCAGGGCCCAGUGGUCGGACCCAGGGAUCUGAGGAUGGAGGGCUCUGCACACACGGUGGGGUUGAGCCCAGUCACCGGCCGGGGCUAACGCCUGCCUGCCAGAUGGCCCUGCGAGCCUCUGGUUAUGAUUAGAUGGCAGACGGCACUCGGAACCCAGCAGGCUGAUGCUUUGCGGAGAACAUUGUUCUAUGGCUUUUCAUAGUUUCCCAAGUAAAUGUUCCGCUCACUGCCGCUUGGAUUACGAAGGCCUUGGAAGUGAAGGCGGAGAUCUGUUCCCAAACAGAUGCCUCGUUUCUCCUCUGUCACCUAGGCACUCGGUAUUGUUGUCGGAUUGUUUUCCUGGGUCCGCCCGUGCUCUGGGCUCAGAACAUUCCCUCCGAGUGAUCUCCUGGCAUCUGCUCAGCCGGGCUUGCAGCCGCCUCAUUUCCCAGCCAUUCCACACCAGCUCCUCCUGAUGUAGCAGGCGAUUUGCCACAGGCAGGUGACCCAAAGGUCCCCUGGUGUUGCUGGGAGGAAAGGUAGCAGCAGAGAAGCAGACGAAGUCCUGCCAAGCCCCUCCGAAGGACAGUCCGCUGGUGUGCCGCCUCCAGGCCUGUCCUGUGACACUAGAUACAUGCAAGGGCUGUCUGCAGAGGCAGAAGAAGUGUCUACACCCUGGUGGCUCUUGGGCCCUCACUGCCUUUAUUAUUGCUUAUAAAAUCUAGUAAACAGAUGGUUUGGUUUAGAGAAAGUAUGCAGCCAGGAUUAUUUUAAAAAGAGAGGAGAGAAUGAGGAGGGAGAGGGAAAGCAGGGAGGCUUGGAUAGCAGCAAGCCUCCGGACAGCUGGCAAACCAAGUACCAUGGUCCUGUGUGUGCCUCUUUAUGGGACUGUCCUCACUAAGUCUGUGUGUUCCCAAAGAAGCCAAGGUAACUCCCACUUCAGGUGGGGUCACACUCCACCCUCCUCACCACCCCUCUUUCUAGGAUCUGUUCGUGUAUGCGCAUGCCGCUGUGGGGAAAUGAGUUUGACGGCACUUAGGGCCAGAAGAGCCGCAUGUGGGCUCCCUUUGGAGAAAGGCUGCUCACGCAGUAGGUGGUUAUAGAGGAAGAAGGGAAGGAGAGCCCUCUGGAGUAGGGGGCAGUGUCCUGGUUUCUUUUCUUUUACUGUGACAAAAAUAUCCUGGGGCGGGGGGAAGCAACGUAGUGAGAAGGAAUGGCUAAUUUGGCUUACAGUUCCCUCGCUUUGGGAAUGUCAAGGUAGGAACUCAAGGGACAAGUCACAGCCACAGUCAAGAACAUUUUCAUCUUUGCUUGCUUGCUCUCAACUAGUUUUCUCCCCUCUUACACUGUUCAGGAUUGCCUACAUAGGGAAUGGUGCCACCCACAAUGGGCUGGGUCUUUGUGCCCAUUUGACACAAACUAGAGUCAUCUGGGAGAAGGAGACCUCAAGGGAGAAAACGCCUCCCUAAGGUCAGGUUGUAGGCAAGCCUGUAGGGCAUUUCUUAAUUAGUGAUUGAUGGAGGAGGGCCCAGUUCAUUGUGGGUGGUGCCGUUCCUAGGCUGGUGGUCCUGGGUUCUUUAAGAAGCAAGCUGAGCAAGUUGUGAGGAGCAAGCCAGCAAGCGGCACCCCAUCGUGGCCUCUGCAUCAGCUCCUGCCUCCAGGUUCUGCCCUCACUCUUUUGGAUGAUCAACUGUCACACGGAACUGUGAGUGAAAUCAACCCCUUUCCUCCUCGAGUUGCUUUUAGUUGUGGUGUUUCAUCACAGCAACGAUAACCCUAAUUAGGACAAUCUUCUUACAUCAAUUAACAAAACAAAACACAGACAUGUUCAUAGGCCAAAAUGAUCUAGAUAAUACCUCAUUAAGAUUCUCUUCCCAGGGGCGGGAGAGGUGGCUCAGUGGUUAAGAGCACUGGUUGCUCUUCCAGAGGUCUUGAGUUCAAUUCCCACAACCACAUCGUGGCUCACAACCAUCUGUAAUGAGAUCUGGUGCCCUCUUCUGAUAUACAGGCAGACAUGCAGGUAGAACACUGUAUACAUAAAACAUUAAAUAAAUCUUUAAAAAAAGAUUCUCUUCCCAGGUGACUCUAAGUUGUUUUAAAUCGGCACUUAAAAGUAACCAGCAAGGGCUGGGGAGAUGGCUCUGUAGUUAAGAGCCCUGACUGCUCUUUCGGAGUUCAGUUCCCAGCACUGACAUCAGGUGACUCCCAGGCGUGCACUCAUGGGCACGCACAGAUACAUUCACAGAAUUAAACACAAGUCUUCAUUUUAUAAACAAAACAAAGUUAAGCAAAAUAGGCAGUGUGAGAACCAAAGUUACAUUUUAAGUUUUAAUUACUCUGCCUAAGAGAUUCAUGAAGCAAAAAUGCCUCUGAUCUGCAAGCCCCUUGCCCAAGGACAGAGAGUUCCUGAAAGGCUGCAUGGAGCUGUUGUUUAUGGGAGAUAACAAGCCGCAUGUUUCACUCCCCUAAACAAGUUUGUUUGAGCCAUCUUCACCAGAUGUGUUUGACCACAUGGGCGGGAAGAUCACAAGCUCAGGAUGUUUGCUUGCCCCUGAUUGGACCUCAUGGGAAACACAAUGAAUUAUGGGUUUUCCUUCUUAAGCCACUGUAAACUGUGAUUCUAGGCAUUUCCCAGGAACCUGGGUAUGGACCUGGCCAGAUUCCAUCCACCUGGUCAGUAUUUAACUAAAGCUUGCUUCAAAUUUGACUUUAAACUGUGGUAGUGGCCUUAUUCUCGAUCGGUGGGGUUAACAUUUUCUGGAGGUCCCCAACGAUACUCAGACCACCAACCCAAAUUCAGAAACUGCACCUUCGCUCUGGAACUCCAGGGUCGAGGGGCCACUUCAGGAAGCGUGUGCCUUGAGGUUGUCCCAGUUUGUUCAUUUUGUGGACUAUCGGAGUGAGCGGCCUCGCUGAGAAAUUCAGCAAGCAUCUAGAGUGAUAGUCUGGUUCUGUUCUGUGAGAUGCCUACCAGGGAUGUGGAGGGGGUUCUGCGGGACCCCAGUAUUCUCCUGUCCAGGGCAUUUAGCGAGAUGUCACCCACCCAUCUGGUUCUAGUUCUGGGUGGAAAGUUUUGUCUAUUUCUCAAGAGUGUUAUGUAUGUUUGUUUUGUUGGAAAGUGUGUUUCCUGGUGUGUCCAUGAAAAUGUUGUCUAUUUCUCUUCAGAGUUGUGUCUCCCUGUUUUGUUGGAAAGUUUUGUCUAUGUUUUCUAGUGUUGCAAGCAUGCAGCUGGGAUGAAACGGGUCAGAUAUUUUUGCUGUUUCUGUGUGUCAGCUGCCAGUGACCACAUGGCUGCGUUUAUGGCCGGGGCUCAGAAUUUAUCUCUGAGCUCUCUGGUCGCUGGAUUUGGGUUAGAAGUUGAGAUGUCUUUUUGGUGUAGGUAACAUGAAAUUUGUUUUAUGCUGGUCUUUAUUGGAAAGCUGACCCUGGAGUUGGAUUAUGGACUUCCCUUUGCUAGACCCAGGCAAGCUUAUUGAACCGUUUCCCCUCUGUUUUUCUGUCAGCUCGAGCCCCUGACACAGU